rnacentral:rRNA from 1 species
GGGUUGUUGCUGGCUCCUUGAUGGGGGCAAUGUGCACGCUUGUCAUUUUCACUUUCAUCUCUCCUCUGUGCACCGACUGUAGGUCUGGAGUUUGUUUGAAAUCCUUUUCCUUUGGGUUUUCGAUUGAGGACUGCUCCUCUGCUUUUCCUUGCAUCUCCAGGUCUAUGUCUUUUACAAUCUCUCAAUGCGUCUCUGAAUGUAGAAUUUUUGUUGGUAUACACAAUAUACAACUUUCAGCAACGGAUCUCUUGGCUCUCGCAUCGAUGAAGAACGCAGCGAAAUGCGAUAAGUAAUGUGAAUUGCAGAAUUCAGUGAAUCAUCGAAUCUUUGAACGCAUCUUGCGCUCCUUGGUAUUCUGAGGAGCAUGCCUGUUUGAGUGUCAUCAAGCUCUCAACCACAUUGAUUUGCUUUGAUGUGGAUUGGACAUGGGAUUUUGCAGGGCCUUUUUGGGUCUGCUUUCCUGAAAUAGAUUAGUGGUAUCUGAGCAGAGAGGGCUACUACGGGUGUGAUAACUUAUCUAUGCCUAUUGUAAAGCGCUGCGCAAACCGCUUCCAAAUCCUCAUCUGUUGACCG